rnacentral:rRNA from 1 species
UACGUAGGGGCGAGCGUUGUCCGGAGUUACUGGGCGUAAGGGCAUGCAGGCGGUCGGACGCGUUUCGGGUGACAGCGGGUGGCUUAACUACCCGAGUGGUCGAAAGACGGUUUGACUUGAGGACGCGAGAGGGACACGGAAUUCCGGGUGGAGUGGUGAAAUGCGUAGAGAUCCGGAGGAACACCGAAGGCGAAGGCAGUGUCCUGGCGCGUAACUGACGCUGAGGUGCGAAAGCCAGGGGAGCGAACGGG